GUAGGAGGCGAGCGUUGUCCGGAAUCAUUGGGCGUAAAGAGCGCGCAGGCGGCCCGGCAAGUCGGGUGUGAAAUCCCGGGGCUCAACCCCGGGACUGCAUUCGAUACUGUCGGGCUAGAGGUAGGUAGGGGAGAUCGGAAUUCCUGGUGUAGCGGUGAAAUGCGCAGAUAUCAGGAGGAACACCGGUGGCGAAGGCGGAUCUCUGGGCCUUACCUGACGCUCAGGCGCGAAAGCUAGGGGAGCGAACAGGAUUAGAUACCCUGGUAGUCCUAGCCGUAAACGUUGGGUGCUAGGUGUGGGCGGAUAUCGACCCCGUCCGUGCCGAAGCUAACGCAUUAAGCACCCCGCCUGGGGAGUACGGCCGCAAGGCUAAA
rnacentral:rRNA from 1 species